rnacentral:rRNA from 1 species
AACGAACGCUGGCGGCAUGCCUAACACAUGCAAGUCGAACGAGACCUUCGGGUCUAGUGGCGCACGGGUGCGUCACGCGUGGGAACCUGCCCUUAGGUUCGGAAUAACUCCCCGAAAGGGGUGCUAAUACCGGAUAAUGUCUUCGGACCAAAGAUUUAUCGCCUUUGGAUGGGCCCGCGUUGGAUUAGCUAGUUGGUAGGGUAACAGCCUACCAAGGCGACGAUCCAUAGCUGGUCUGAGAGGAUGAUCAGCCACACUGGGACUGAGACACGGCCCAGACUCCUACGGGAGGCAGCAGUGGGGAAUAUUGGACAAUGGGCGAAAGCCUGAUCCAGCAAUGCCGCGUGAGUGAUGAAGGCCUUAGGGUUGUAAAGCUCUUUUACCCGGGAUGAUAAUGACAGUACCGGGAGAAUAAGCUCCGGCUAACUCCGUG